UAUGAUCUAUUCUUACAAUGGUAUCCUGUGCGAACAUCGAGUGAGCAAGCUGUUACCUAAAGUUGCCAUACAAUCGUUGUUUGAUCCUCUUUUAUCGGUUUUGCAUUUGUGGUGUGGCGCAAGCAUGGAAGUGGAUGGAUGAAGAAGAGAGCGGCAACCCUUAUAAUAGAGGAAGUAGAUAAGUAAAAGGCCAUAGCUGAGCAUCUCUGGAUAAAAGAGGUGGCUGGUAUAAAGAUAUGUUUAGGGAGAUGAACCUUAACGAAUAUGUAUGAUUAAUUCUGAUGACCUGAAGAUUGGAUUAAAUGCCAAUGGAUGCUUUAUUCUUGUGUUAGACUAAAGUAAAAUCAAAGACGGAUGAAGAGACUGGAAGUGGAGAGAAAUGAGGGCAGGAAGAAAGAUGCCGCGACUUGUGAGUGUGAAUUAUGCCCUUCGUGUCAAAAUACGUGCGUGCACGUGC